rnacentral:misc_RNA from 1 species
UGUGGGAGCGGGCUUGCUCGCGAAAGCGCUGGGUCAGGCAAAUCGAUUGCGACUGAUACACCGCUUUCGCGAGCAAGCCCGCUCCCACA